rnacentral:rRNA from 1 species
UGGGGAAUAUUGGACAAUGGGCGAAAGCCUGAUCCAGCCAUGCCGCGUGUGUGAAGAAGGUCUUCGGAUUGUAAAGCACUUUAAGUUGGGAGGAAGGGCAGUAAGCGAAUACCUUGCUGUUUUGACGUUACCGACAGAAUAAGCACCGGCUAACUCUGUGCCAGCAGCCGCGGUAAUACAGAGGGUGCAAGCGUUAAUCGGAAUUACUGGGCGUAAAGCGUGCGUAGGUGGUUCGUUAAGUUGAAUGUGAAAGCCCCGGGCUCAACCUGGGAACUGCAUCCAAAACUGGCAAGCUAGAGUAGAGCAGAGGGUGGUGGAAUUUCCUGUGUAGCGGUGAAAUGCGUAGAUAUAGGAAGGAACACCAGUGGCGAAGGCGACCUCCUGGGCUCAUACUGACACUGAGGUGCGAAAGCGUGGGGAGCAAACAGG